rnacentral:rRNA from 1 species
GACGAACGCUGGCGGCGUGCCUAAUACAUGCAAGUCGAGCGGACCACUUCGGUGGUCAGCGGCGGACGGGUGAGUAACACGUGGGCAACCUGCCUGUAAGACUGGGAUAACACCGGGAAACCGGUGCUAAUACCGGAUAAUCCUUUCCUUCACAUGAGGGAAAGCUGAAAGACGGUUUCGGCUGUCACUUACAGAUGGGCCCGCGGCGCAUUAGCUAGUUGGUGAGGUAACGGCUCACCAAGGCAACGAUGCGUAGCCGACCUGAGAGGGUGAUCGGCCACACUGGGACUGAGACACGGCCCAGACUCCUACGGGAGGCAGCAGUAGGGAAUCUUCCGCAAUGGACGAAAGUCUGACGGAGCAACGCCGCGUGAGCGAUGAAGGCCUUCGGGUCGUAAAGCUCUGUUGUCAGGGAAGAACAAGUACCGGAGUAACUGCCGGUACCUUGACGGUACCUGACCAGAAAGCCACGGCUAACUACGUGCCAGCCGCCGCUGUAAAAC